GUGGCUAUGUCAGAAAUAUAUGAGUUAGCUUUAAGCGUUAAUUAUGGGGUAAAUCCCUAGUCACU
rnacentral:tRNA from 1 species